rnacentral:sRNA from 1 species
AAUAAUUUUUUUAAUAUUAUUUGAUGUAAUGAUGAUUUUGCAUUAAUUGUGACAAUAGUCACAUCUAAACUUUUUGAGGGCAUUAAAUGUUGAUGUCACUUCGGAAUAAUGGAAAUAAUCUCACUUGUAACGGAACCGAAUCGCGUCAACGUGAAACAAAAAAUCUUCAACUGAACCGGAACAGUGUACUUAACUAAACCUGCUAAACUAAACCGUACAUUUCAACAGUUACUAAGAGAGAAGCGCAAGGGCAGAAGCGUCAUUUUGCAGGCAAAAAGACAAAUGGUGAAAACCACAUUUGACUUUGACAAUCCAUGAAAAUAAAACAUGGUCAACGGGUGUCGCCUGCAAUUUACCCAUGUUUAAGAGCUGUUUUGAUUUUUUCACUCUCUCAAAUACAUUUGUUUCUUAAGUUUUCCGACUCGUGCUAUUUUCUUAAUUUUGUUUUUGAGUCAAAGGUUACUUACUAAUAUUACCCUUUUUAUUUAUUUUU